GCUGAAUUGGUACUUCAUUCUCUCUGGAAUAGUCCCUUAUGGUCUUUUGGAUCUGAGCACUGGCAUCGCUGGCAAUGGAACGAGGUUGAACAUAACUUAUUGGUAGUUUGGAGGGCCAAUACCAGUUUUCCGGAGGUGUUGUUUUCCACCACUGGACAGAAGCUCUGGAUUGCUGCCUCGAAUCCUGCCUGCGGUCUGUUGUUGUAAGAUGUGUCGGUCUCGAUGUGGACUUCGUUUCGUCGACCGAGAAGUUGGUUGACACGCCAGACAUACCGCUGAUUGUCGAUCAUCGAUGUGACAUUGAUUUCCUCCACCCUGUCACACAUCUGAUUGAGUUUCCGCUGCAGACCACAGCUGUCCGGUGGAUUUAUGUUGAGGCAGCACAUCAGGAAUCGUGUACCAGACACUCCCAUCUUAGACUUGGUGAGGGCCAGUACCAAUCUAUCAUUGAAGGCACCUGAUUUUGGUCCUCGUGUCUUCUUGACAGUUGCGUAGAGCUGCAUGUGUGGCUUGGCAGGUCGCAGUUUGGUUGGGAGGAUGAGAUCUUCAGUGGACAUGCACACAGCAUCCCAGUAUUCGUCAAGACUUGGACGGUCCCACUUGUUUUUUGUGUAUUUUGGUCACUUGUACUCGAACCAGCAGGUGCAUCAGUGUCUCGGAGUGCACCAGCUCGGAUUGCAGAAUGUUGAGGGAAAUAGAAACAGGUCAGCUAACAAAGGAGCACAAUUCGUGCCCAUGGGAAUUCCAACAGACUCCUGGAAGACCUGAUCACCAAAGACCACGAAGAUAUUGUCAAUGAGGAACUCUAUCAUAUGUUUUUAUUUCAACAUCAGAGUACUUGUUCGUGGAAUCAGAGU